UACGGAGGGUGCAAGCGUUGUUCGGAUUUAUUGGGCGUAAAGCGCGUGUAGGCGGUUUCUUAAGUCUGAUGUGAAAGCCCUGGGCUCAACCCAGGAAGUGCAUUGGAUACUGGGAGACUUGAAUACGGGAGAGGGUAGUGGAAUUCCUAGUGUAGGAGUGAAAUCCGUAGAUAUUAGGAGGAACACCGGUGGCGAAGGCG
rnacentral:rRNA from 1 species